CCUGUUGUGAGAGAUCGUGUAAUGAAUAGGACCUUCAGCAUCGUCAGUCCACAUUUCCCACGCUUCUCACGUGUCGACUGGUUUGCUUGGUUCCAUCUGAAACUGGUUCCUGUCCUCCUAAGUUUCAAUCCAAUGAUGCUUAAGAAUGCAACCUCAAAUAUUAACUGCACAAACUACCACGUGGUUGUGAGUGGAAUGUCCAAAGCAUUCCCUGCAAUGAAAUCGCAUGGACGACAAGGAAUCGCAGAGGUUCUGCUGGGCUACCUGAAAAAAUCUGCCAGUGUCAUCAACCAGCCAGCCUGCAGGCAGGAAAUUCAGACUGAUGCCGAGUGGCUUGACAUAAACUUUGGCCCAUUUUCCCAAUUCACAACAUACUCUGACCUCAAAUUCUUCA